AUGAUUGAGGGUUUAGAAGAAGCCAAACUAAUUAUGAUUAUCAUGUUUUUUCCCUGAUAACGUUAUAAUAUUUUGUUUCCGUAAGUUAUGUUUAAUUAUUGUCCUUACUUAUCUUGUUUGUGUUGUCAUGAUGGACAAACUUAUUAAUAAUUGGGGUUGGUGUUUAAAUUGUAUUUUUUAUCUUAUAAUAAUAUAAACUAAAAACCACGUACAUUAUUUAGAAAUUAACGUGAUUGGUACACUGUCUGAUUGAAGACAAGGUUACCAGGUUACUUAGACUAUCCGGCCUGGUCGUCACCACGGAGCCACGCGUGAGUCCUACGCCCCCUAGGUGUGGUUCACAGCUGUGAGACUUUGGCGCGGACCUGGUUACCAUUGAGUCACGCGUGACAAACCGUACCCCCUAGGCGUGGCUCACAACCGUGAGACUUCGGCGUGGACUUGCUCUGCUUUCCGGUCUCCCCCUUUCCCAUUUCCAGAGUAACGUUCAAUAAUAAUAAUAGUAAAGUUUGUAUAAAACUUACCCAUGUGAGUAGUGGAAACUAUUUCCCCCAAUCAAAUGACUCGAAGCUGUUAGUUGUGAUGGGAAAUGAAAACCGAUAAGACGCUGAUAUGGCAAUAAAACCCAUGUGAUACGUGAGAACCACGCCCCUAUAGGCUAUAUAGCCUUACAAUCAGUAGCGGACUGACUGACGUUCUCACACUGGUAAAAGCUUCAAGUGAUACGUGUUACAUAUAGACUAGCUACAAAGUUAUAUGUGUUAUCAUCACUUAUCAAUGUAUACUAUAUUGCUCAACUUUUUGCUGGCUUUUGUUGAUAUAUAAAAGGUAGUGUGUCAAAGCUUCAAGUGGUUAGCAGUUAGCACCAAUGUUUUGACCAUAACAACACUCGGUCAGAUCACAACCUCUGAGCAAGUAAAGUUGUCGGUUUAACGACAUGUCUGGUUUUCAAAAUACUGGUUAGCACCAGUGGCGAAACUUGACAAUGAAGUCAGGGGUCGAAAACGUAUAUACCCAAAAUUUUCUAUAGAACCGGGGAUCGAAAACGUAUAUGCCCAAAAAUUUAUAUACGAAAACUACAUAUAUAACACUACUG
rnacentral:lncRNA from 1 species